GCACGUACCACAAGAUGCAAGAGGUCUGUGAAACUGUCUUUCUUUUAUCAUCAUAUCCAACUCACAGCGCUCCAAAUACGUUAACAUGCAAACAAGAUUUAUGGGGAGCUGGUACAAGCACGUGGAUUUUAUCUUUUAGCACUUGGACGAAAAGUGACGCCAAAUGUUAAACCGCAAGAAGGACGUCUAGCUCUUUUCUGCGCCUAGCGGUUUCCUUCUCCAGCGGCACUUACUUACGAAGAGACUGAAAAUAUGACGUCUGUGUAACUUUUACGCGCGAUUCAGAGGUGAUCCUUUUGAAAUUGUGUGUUACGGUUCCAGCGCGCAUAUCUUCGCGACAAGACCAUAUCUGUUGAAAAAUAAGCUCAAAUGGAACCAUUUUAAGAAGACAGGAUGGUUGAUCACAUUUUACCUUCCGCAGUACUUUAUGUUACAUUCGGAUCAUGACAUGGAUGCGUGUGAACAAGAGUUUUAUAAUGAAAUAGAAAGCAUGUACUGUAAGCGACAUUUAAGAAUUGAUGUUUGAGUCUAUCAACUCAGUCAUGAAUUUUCAGUGAAUUAAAUAGUAAGGUUUGUUGA